rnacentral:rRNA from 1 species
GAGAUGGAUUCGUGCCCGAAAGGGAACCUGCACACAGGUGCUGCAUGGCUGUCGUCAGCUCGUGUCGUGAGAUGUUGGGUUAAGUCCCGCAACGAGCGCAACCCUUGCCAUUAGUUGCUACGAAAGGGCACUCUAAUGGGACUGCCGGUGACAAACCGGAGGAAGGUGGGGAUGACGUCAAGUCCUCAUGGCCCUUAUAGGUGGGCUACACACGUCAUACAAUGGCUGGUACAUAGGGUUGCCAACCCGCGAGGGGGAGCUAAUCCCAUAAAGCCAGUCGUAGUCCGGAUCGCAGUCUGCAACUCGACAGCGUGAAGUCGGAAUCGCUAGUAAUCGCGGAUCAGAAUGUCGCGGUGAAUACGUUCCCGGGCCUUGUACACACCGA